UACGUAGGGUGCAAGCGUUAAUCGGAAUUACUGGGCGUAAAGCGUGCGCAGGCGGUUGGGCAAGACAGAUGUGAAAUCCCCGGGCUCAACCUGGGAAUUGCAUUUGUGACUGCACGGCUAGAGUGUGUCAGAGGGGGGUAGAAUUCCACGUGUAGCAGUGAAAUGCGUAGAGAUGUGGAGGAACACCGAUGGCGAAGGCAGCCCCCUGGGAUAACACUGACGCUCAUGCACGAAAGCGUGGGGAGCAAACAGG
rnacentral:rRNA from 1 species